rnacentral:rRNA from 1 species
UUUGAACCUAGUGGGACGAUGAAAGGGUCUGUUUAUUUCAGGUAUCGUGAGAGAAAAUGUAAUUUGAACCUAGUGGGACGAUGAAAGGGUUAAUAGAUAUUGUGAAUGAGUGUACUUUUCGGAGAAUGGCUUAUAGAGUGAAGAGAGUUUUUUCUGUUCCAGAAAAUUUUAGAGCUAUUGCUUAUUUUGGCUGUUGUUGCAAAAACAGGAGAAAGUAAUCAAUAGGUGUGAUAUGUGAAUCGGAAAGAUUGAUAGCUGGUUAAAUAGGAAAUGCAUUUAAGUGCAGUUAGGAUAAUAAUUUAUUUAAGAUUUAGAAAGUUUAUAGGUAAAUUUUGUCUAAGGUGAGUUUAAAAGGGGUGAGCUUUUUAAAUUCUAAAGGAAAAAAGAGUUGAAGUAGAAAUAAGAUUGUUCAGCUUUAAAACGUUGUGACGAAAUGGGCUUUUGAAAGAUUUUUAUUUAGUACUAUUUUUUUAAUGUGGGUUUUGCAUUAAAAAUUAGUAUAAGAUUAGUAAGAGAGAGAAUAUUAAUUUACGUGUUUUGAAAUAAGAUGGUUGAUUAAUAGAUGUGUUAGGGCAUAAAUUUACUCUUAAGGAACUCGGCAAAUAUGGUCUUCGCCUGUUUAACAAAAACAUGGCCCUUUGUUUUUUAAUAUAAAGGGUCGGACCUGCCCGGUGGGAUUGGCUAACCUUAACGGCUGCGACGAGAGUUGUGCUAAUGUAGCGUAAUCAUUAGCCUUUUAAAAGGAGGGAGGAAUGAAUGGUUUGACGAGGGACCUGCUGUCUCAGGAGUAAUUUCUAAAGUUUUCUUUUAAGUGAAAAGACUUAAAUUUUUAAAUAAGAAGAGAAGACCCCGGUGAGCUUGAUAAACCUUGACUAAAGAGUUAAGAUUUGAAGUUUUGUUGGGGAAACAGGAAGGGAAAAGGAACCCUUCCGUUAAUAAUGGUGAUCCCCUCUGAGGGAAGUUAGCAAAAGCUACCACGGGGAUAACAGCUUAAUCCUUUCUGAGAGAACAAAUUGAAGAAAGGGAUUGCGACAUCGAUGUUGGAUUAGGGUACCCUUUUGGUGCAGAAGUUAAAAAGGGGAGACUGUUCGUCUUUUAAACCCCUACAUGAUCUGAGUUCAGACCGGCGUGAGCUAGGUCAGUUUCUAUCUAUUUUAAAGCUCUUCUAGUACGAAAGGAAUUUUGAGCUGUGUGGGACUUUACUUUUAGUAAAGAUGAUU